AGCAGCAGCCACGGUAAUACGUAGGGUGCGAGCGUUAAUCGGAAUUACUGGGCGUAAAGCGUGCGCAGGCGGUUAUAUAAGACAGAUGUGAAGUCCCCGGGCUCAACCUGGGACCUGCAUUUGUGACUGUAUAGCUAGAGUACGGUAGAGGGGGAUGGAAUUCCGCGUGUAGCAGUGAAAUGCGUAGAUAUGCGGAGGAACACCGAUGGCGAAGGCAAUCCCCUGGACCUGUACUGACGCUCAUGCACGUAAGCGUGGGGAGCAAACAGGAUUAGAUACCCGGGUAGUCCCUGUCUCUUAUAC
rnacentral:rRNA from 1 species